GCUGAAAUAGCUCAACAGGUAGAGCAAUUGACCCGUAAUCAAUAGGUUGCAGGUUCGAGUCCUGCUUUCAGCACCA
rnacentral:tRNA from 1 species